rnacentral:rRNA from 1 species
AGAGCGAACGCUGGCGGCAGGCUUAACACAUGCAAGUCGAGCGGGCGUAGCAAUACGUCAGCGGCAGACGGGUGAGUAACGCGUGGGAACGUACCUUUUGGUUCGGAACAACACAGGGAAACUUGUGCUAAUACCGGAUAAGCCCUUACGGGGAAAGAUUUAUCGCCAAAAGAUCGGCCCGCGUCUGAUUAGCUAGUUGGUGAGGUAACGGCUCACCAAGGCGACGAUCAGUAGCUGGUCUGAGAGGAUGAUCAGCCACAUUGGGACUGAGACACGGCCCAAACUCCUACGGGAGGCAGCAGUGGGGAAUAUUGGACAAUGGGCGCAAGCCUGAUCCAGCCAUGCCGCGUGAGUGAUGAAGGCCCUAGGGUUGUAAAGCUCUUUUGUGCGGGAAGAUAAUGGACGGUACCGCAAGAAUAAGCCCGGCUAACUUCGUGCCAGCAGCCGC